AAAAUAGCCAAAGAAUAAGCCAGAUGUGCAGCAUUGGGGACUUUAAUUCCGAGGAAAACAUUGGUCAGAUGCUGAAUGGCACAACUUCAGAGGUGUGCGUGACUAACUUUGAAAACCUAACGCAAUCCUGUUUCACUGGCAGACCUUUUUGGCCACAAGGCUCAGUGGAUUAAGGAAAAGAGAACAUUAAAAAUCCAUUAAGAGGGUAACUUUAGACUUGUAAAAGACGGUUUGGAUCAAGUGGAAGCACAUUAGGACCCAAAAAAAAAGAAACCCUCUGAGGGAAUACGUGGGAUGUGUUUGUUCAUGAAAAAUCCAUUAUAAACCCGGUUGUUCUAUAUUACUUGAGUGGGAAUACAUACGUUUCAUAAAUUUCACACAGAAGGUUGCAAACUUCAUCAUCACUAACAUAUCAUUGUUUACUUGAAUAAGCCACAUGCUGCUUCGCCUCGCUUUUAUAAUGAGAUCACAUGUAGUCCAGCCUGCUGUGGUGAACUCCCAUGACAGAAACCUUGAACUUUGUAGAUUCUGAUUCACAAAGAACUUCGAACUUAAUUAAAGAAAAAAAAAGAGUGCUUGUGGUUUUAUUCAAAGUGUGCACUUUCAUCGAGGGAGGGGUCGCGGUGCAGGUUUUAGGGUUUUACCAUUAAACUGGGUUCUGGCUCUCAUUAAAUUACAUUCCAAUAGCUGCUUGAGAAAAUGGUGAACACCGGUUAAAAACAUUAAACGGAUUAUUGGUUUAUCAAAGCAAGUAAUGGCUCAGCUUGCGAACGUCACAUAACCAAACUCAGAAAACAGGUGAGCUGUGAUGUCACUUUCAGUGGACAGCAAGUGGCAAAAUGACCGCCCCACCAGAGAUGGAUAAAAACGUGUUUUUUCGUCUGCUUUAAUUCAUGUUCCGCAAACGCAAUCUGAAUCCGAAAGUGUUUAGACCAAUGGGGCCACUUAGAACAUAUUACAGAAAAAAAA